rnacentral:ncRNA from 1 species
AUAAAAACAUUGAAGUGACAUAGUAAGAAUGAUGCGACACAAGAGAUAUCAUGGGCGGUGUAAAUGAUACGUAAGUUAUUCUGAAUUCACCACGGAGUUGGUUAGCUUAAAGGUUAUCCCGAGUUAUGAUCGUUAAAUCAUAAGGUUGUAAACCUAGCGAGACUAUCUAUGUGAAUAGAUGGUAAACUAGAGGUGGUAACGCGUGGAUUCGCCCUCUUU